GGGUCCCAAGCAUUCGGUAGUUCCUAGUAAAAGCCAGAUGACCACCUCGUCGGAGUCUCUGCAAAGCUUUGCCUUUGGCUCCCUCUCCAUAAGCAGCAAGGAGACAGAAGAGAAGGAGGAGGGGGCAGCUGGCUAUCUUGAUAUUAAGGAGAUGCCAAGAGGCCCAACUGGGGAAUGUAUAGGAGUGGAGGAACAGGCCAGUGCCUUAAAGUUCUCAGUAACACCAGCUUCCUGUCAGCUGCAACCUGGUGUAAAAAAGGCAGAGAGUAGUGAAGAACAUGUUACACCAGGAGAGCCACUUGGAAAACAAAAUGGAUCAUUUCUUGACUUUCAUGUGGGUAACCAGUUCCCCACCCUCAUUCGAAGUUUCCAGGUAGUAAUUUAUUCAAUGAUGCAGGUCUAAUGACUGUCUUUGGAAGAGGGCCAGAAUCUGUCCUGUGGAGGAGGUGGUGGUGGUGUGGUGAGGGUAGUGGCCUCCCUGCUGUUUUCAAAAUCACAGACUAAAAUAAAGCCUUUGAUUGUGCCAAAGAAAUUCAUUCAGAGCAAUUAACUGCAUGGCUAGAAAUGCUUUCUUCUCUGAUAACUUAACAAAACUCCAGCUGUCAGUCUUUAUGAAGCUGGUUAAGUGUGUUCAUCUUUUCCUUGCUCAAGUGUGGGCUAUGGAAAGAGGUGAAUUGCGGUGACUUCUGUGGUGAGGAGGCUUCAGUGUUCUGAGACCAUGCUUAAAAAAUUCAAAUACUCUUAAUUAAAGGGGCAACUCAUCUUCUUAUGAGAUUUCAGGCCCCAAAUAAUGUAUGUACUGCAGCCACAUUGUGCAGCCCACCACUCCCACUGACCCCACCCACAAGAGCAUUCAGGAUCAUAGGCACUGAUUUCCUAUGCUAAGGUGGUUGGCCACUUAACCUUAUUACAAUCAAAUGGUAGUUUCAGUGUGAUUUAUACUCCUGGGGAAGGUGAGCAGAUGGACAAGAAGGCCUUUGGUAUUCCACUAAUGUUCAUUCUUCUGAAAUUCUGGGAUUAAUCACCAGGUGGUGGUAGAACUGAUUGUUUUUUUCUUUCCAGUUUUCCAAAUACUGUCUCUUCUCAAUAACUCCAAAGUGAAUCUCUGACAUUGAUUUGAAAGAAGUUAAUGAAUUCGAGGGUAAUGCAUUCCAUUGCCACUGCUGUUUCAUGUACCAUUUGUACUUAGUGGAGGAAAUGUGGCUGAUUUUCUUAAUUAUAAUGGUACAGACACAAGGACAAAUCAAAGUGAUUGCUAUUUGGCAAAUCGUUUUAUAUUCAAAUUCUGAAGGUCAGUCUGAAGUGUUUUAUAUCACCAAUCAUAACUGUCUGCUCUUACAGCUUUCCAUUAAGCUUAUGAAACUGAUUACAGUAAUGCUGCUUUUUAAUAUCCCUCAUGAUUUGACACCUUGUCAGGGUUACUUUGGAAUACUGUCGAAGUCUUAGGCAGGGUAAACACCUUUGUAGAUUGAGCUAGCUCUGUACUUAAUUAAAGCUAACACUUUGAUCAGAUCAGUGUCAGAAGAUUACUUCUCCAUUGCCUUCAGAAAUACUCUAGUAACUCUUUCCUUACUGCUUCACAGCCUCCCCUGGUGAAGACACAAACUGUCACCAUCUCAGAUAAUGCCAAUGCUGUGAAAAGUGAAAUCCCAACCAAAGACGUCCCUAUUGUCCACACUGAGACCAAGACCAUCACUUAUGAGGCUGCCCAGACUGACGACAACAAUGGAGACUUGGACCCAGGAGUCUUGCUGACAGCUCAAACUAUCACAUCUGAGACCCCAAGCAGCACCACCACAACUCAAAUUACCAAGACUGUAAAAGGUGGGAUUUCAGAGACACGUAUUGAAAAGAGAAUUGUGAUCACAGGAGAUGCUGAUAUUGACCAUGAUCAGGUCCUUGUACAAGCCAUCAAGGAGGCAAAGGAGCAGCACCCAGACAUGUCAGUGACCAAGGUGGUCGUCCACCAGGAGACCGAGAUUGCUGAUGAGUGAGCUCAGGAACUAACCUACCCCAACUCUGCCCUUCUCCCAUCCAAGAGAAACCAGCAAAAUGAUAAAGAAGCUAACCUGCCAUAGUCAGACUUCAGACUUUCAAGAUUAUUCUAAAUCACCAGAAAAUUAAUUUCAUUUUCUAUUGGGAGUUUAUACCAAGAGAUUCUUCUAGAUCUCAUUGAUCCUUUUGAAGAGCUUUUUCUAUAUUAGGAUAUCAGAAUUGUUCAACUUUUCACUCUAUAGACUGUUUUAAGAGUUUUGGGGUUUUUUUAAUUGGGUGGUUUGUAACCCCUUCAGCCUAGCCUCUCUGCCCAUUUAUUUCCAACCCCAACAGACACUGACAGGGUCCACGGAAUUCUUCAGGAAAUCCUCCAAGGACUCUUGUCAGCUGUGUUGGAGGCCAAAGCCAGCUUAGUGGGACUUCCGCGUCUCUCCCUAGUCUUAUCCCCUUUGGAUGACGGCAGAAACUUCAUGAACCAGCCCUUUCUCAGAGCCAGUGAUGUGAGUGUAUCAGAAUGCCAGGGAGAGCACCAGCCCUGAUCCACAGACCUCGGAACGAUGCCCCUGUUCCUUUGUUGCGGGUGGUUUUGGUAAGGCAGAGCCCUCUGCUGAGAAUGUAGUAUUGUUUUUCCCCUCUCCCUCCUGCUUUCUUUUUGGAGCUUCUUUGGGUCAAAGACAUGGAAGUUGCUUCAGAUAUCUGAUACUGUGAAUGUUUGAACAUACCCGUGGCCUUCACCUCUCCAGCUACCCUUUUACCUCAUCAGAAGCAGUGGCUCAGCUAAGUGCUCCCCCUAGCUCCCAUCUCAGGAGACCAAAUCUCACAGAAAAAUAGGCACUUUGGGCCAAAAGCUCUAAUGGAACAUUUUUAGUGGUGAUUUGGGGAAGGAAAGUUAAUGAGGUUUUUAAAAAGAAGGUUUUCUAGUUUUGAGAGUGUGCACUUCACACAGGGGAAUGGGGUUACUUCUGUCUGAUCCUGGGCCUUUCUUUCAUCCCAAAUGACAAGGAAUGUGGCUCAGAGAAGGGUUUUUCUUUUUUGACCUUUCUUCUCUCAACAGGAACCUGCCUGAGGACACCCUUCUAGAGCAAGGAAUUGACUUUUAGGAGCCGUUCUCCCCACAAGACACCACAUGACAAGGGGUAUAAGCCCCAGCCCUGCUCAUUCCCACUCACCAGCUGAGGUCUGUCAGGUUUUGAAGGCUUGAUUUUGUGGUGGGUUUGGGGCUUAGUUUUCCUUUUUUUCAUUUUGAUUUUUGAAAGUGAAGAUGAUGCCCUAAUUCCUGGUGAGGAUUUGGGGCAUAGUUUUUUGUUUUUUUGAGACGGAGUUUCGCUCUUGUUGCCCAAGCUGGAGUGCAGUGGCGCGAUCUCGGCUCACUGCAACCUCCGCCUCCUGGGUUCAAGCAGUUCUCUUGCCUCAGCCUCCCAAGUAGCUGGGAUGACAGGCGCACACCACCACGCCCAGCAAAUUUUUUGUAUUUUUAGUAGAAACGGGAUUUCACCUUGUUAGCCAGGCUGGUCUCGAACUCCUGACCUCAGGUGAUCCACCCACCUUGGCCUCCCAAAGUGCUGGGAUUACAGGUGUGAGCCACCACGCCCGGCCGAUUUGGGGCAUUUUUAUUUAACAGAACUUCUCUAACCUUCCAACUGCUUCCCACAAACACAUUGGCCUCAAGGCUCCUUAGAAUCCCAGUUCCAGGCUAGAAGUGAACUUCCUAAAAUAGACAGUGGGUAUCGGGCAGCAGUCACUGGGGCUCCAGGGCAGUGAGCAAGAGAAAUGUCUAAAGCUGCUUCUCCCAACACCGUCCAAAGUCUCCACUGCCUGAGUUUUGUUUCGGCUGGUUUGAACUCAUUUCGGGUGUGUGCAUUUUUCUUUUGGUACCCAUGUGAGACAUGAACAACAGGAGGGAGGGAAAGAGCCCAGGUGGGACGUGGGACAGGCUUAGGGGAAAGAGCUUGUCCUAUCUCAGGAACAAAGUUAUAGGCUGUGGGCAGAGGGUCUGAAAGGUGGGCUUUGGGGUAGUGCCCAAGCCUGGUCGUGUUGCCAGGAGUGGUGACAAGAAAUGCAGCUUACAUCAAACGAACAUGUAGUGCAUGCCCACUGCCUGAUGGCCAGAUGGCCUGUAGGAAGAGCUACCAGGGUUUCCAGACCUGUGGAACGAAGAGGAUGGGGAAAAGGCAGAGGGCACUGAGUGUCCCUUUAAAAACUAACACACUGAAUAUUCCGUGUGAUCUAGAACAGUGUGGCAGCUUUCACAGCACAGGACUGUUCAUCGGGGGCCUAAACGUUUCCCUCAGCUCUGUCACCAACUCACUUCUCUCGGCUUCAUUGUCUGUAAAUUGGAUGAAAAGAGCUCUAAUGCCUUUCAGGCUCUUAGAAGCCAUAGAUUUGGACAAGCCCAGCAAGAUGGGUGUCCUUCCAGGCCUCUUCCCCUUUCCGCCAUCUCUGGCAACAGUUCUUGGGGUUUGGCAAUUGUUUGGAUUUUUUUUUCUUUCUGCAGUUGUGUGUAUGUGUGUUUGUGUGAAGAAAAACAGACUCUGUCCAGGUAGAAAUGGUGAGGAGGGGGAAGAGAAUUACAUUUCCAGGGUCAGAAACUUGGCAACAGUUUUCCUAGAGUGACUCAGACACACCACAGUAACAACUCUCGCUGCAAUUUUAUUUUAAUUUGAGAAAUAAAGAUUUCCUCCAAGCCACAUGAGGACUCUGGCACCCACCCACAAAGCAAGACCUGUAUUUAUAAGCCGAGGGCUCAGGGAGCCUAACUGCGGGACCCGUCAGGGCCCCGUGACCCAUCCCCGUCCCCACCCCCCCCCACCGCCGGGCCCAUCAGUGUGUGUUGGGGCGAUGCUUGGCAGCUGGGGGUGAGGAGACAAACCUCGGGAACUGGAGCCAGAGCUGCGGCCUAACUGACGCCUUUUGAUGCUCACGGGAAAUUUCUGCCCAGGAUCUCAGCCCCAGGCUGGUUGUUUCUACAAAUCUCUCUCAAAUGUAUUAUUUUGGUGACAAAAAUGAAGGAGCUUUGUAAAUUUUUUUAAAAUUAUGAAUCAUAUCAAGUAGUUGUUUACAUUUCUUGAAAAAAUAGGAACUCGGGCAGCAGAAUCAGAUUGGCAGAAUCUUUAGACUACACAGGCAAUAAUCAAGUCUGCUGUUUUGGCCUUUCGUAGUAGAAGUGGUUGUAGUGUUUAGAUAUCUGGUCUUGCUUCUUGUAUUGCAUUUUUUUCAAUAAACAACAACAAAAA
rnacentral:sRNA from 1 species